GGUAAAAUGGCCGAGUGCUCAGGCGGUGGGCCGUAGCCCCACCGACAGGGGUUUAAUUCCUCUUUUUAUCA
rnacentral:tRNA from 1 species